ACCGACUACUAUGUGGACUCUUGCUCGAAAGUAUAGGUCCAAUUAUUUCUUGAGCGUAACAAAGGCCUCCACAAAUGAACAUCUUGCAGACAUAUGCAGGAAGAACGGACAACGGAUGAAAAGAAAAUAAGUGAUCGCUGUGAAGGACUACUGUCGUUUUGAAAUAAUCC